rnacentral:rRNA from 1 species
GACGAACGCUGGCGGCGUGCUUAACACAUGCAAGUCGAGCGGUAAGGCCCUUUCGGGGGUACACGAGCGGCGAACGGGUGAGUAACACGUGGGUGACCUGCCCUUAGCUCUGGGAUAAGCCUGGGAAACUGGGUCUAAUACCGGAUAUGACUCCAUGACGCAUGUUGUGGGGUGGAAAGCCUUGUGCGGCUAGGGAUGGCCCGCGGCCUAUCAGCUUGUUGGUGGGGUGAUGGCCACCAAGGCGACGACGGGUAGCCGGCCUGAGAGGGCGACCGGCCACACUGGGACUGAGACACGGCCCAGACUCCUACGGGAGGCAGCAGUGGGGAAUCUUGCGCAAUGGGCGAAAGCCUGACGCAGCGACGCCGCGUGAGGGAUGACGGCCUC